rnacentral:lncRNA from 1 species
GCCCUGUUUUUUCCAUUACCUGUACCACCAGCCUCAGAGGGACCGAUCCUCAGAGGGACGGAUAAGAUAUUGCUUAGCACUUGGCGCAGCCAUCUGCUCAGUGGGCACCAGGGCUGUUUUCCCUUGACUCAGCAGUUGGUGGUGUGAGGACAGCAACCACUGUGCUGCAGUGGUACUGACACAGCUGUCCACAGCUGCAAUGAAACACAUGUAAAAGGGUUACUGAAAUGAGUGCCCGGAAAGAGACACUGAAGGCAACAUUAGGCAACACUCCUCACCUCCUGAAGCUCAGCCCUUAACCUCCCCCCAUCUCUUCCUUCCUCUUGCUUCUUACCUUACCCUUGUCAGCCCAGGUCAGAUCCUCUAAAAUGCCAUGAGAUUAAGUACCUCUUUCAUCUGCAUGUAGACUAUUUUCAUUGCUUCUGCAAUCACACAGCACACAAGGAAAGGUUGCAAGCAGGAAAAGAGGAGUAAAAAAUGAAGCCAAACCUCACUCAUCGUGUCACAGCACGUCUCCACAUCUUGGAGCCAGACAUGCUGCAGGAAGGAACAAGUCAAGUUGUUUCAGAUUUGCUCCCUAAUGUGGCCAUUAAUUUUACCAUCAAGGAAGCUUGCUGCCCCACCAGAACUUAAUUCAUAUCAGCACAGCACUCUCUGCACAAGGCUGGGCAUCAGCACAAAGGGAUAAAACAGUGAAUGCCACACAGCAGAGGACUGGGAAGAGCGCACGUGAUCAAAUAAUUCGGGAUCAAAAAGUGUCCAAACAACUAAUGGCAAAAAUAAUUCUGUAUCCCAAGGUUCCUUUAUCCGAUUGAAAGAAGUGCUCUCAAUGUGAUUUCGCACACAAAAGACCCUCCCAGACUAUUGCAAACCCUCUGGCAGAGCUCGCAGCCUCAGCAGAGGGGCAGCAGCAGCAGAGAGGACAGCCCUGGCCCCCCAGGUGAGGGCCAGCAGAUGCUGCUGGAGGGGAUCGCUGCCUGAUGCCCUGCAGGACACCGCCUGUCCUGGGAUGUCCUUAGGGUUUCCAGCCUUGCCAAGUGACUUCACUGCUGCUGCACAACGAGUGGCACCGCUGUCCCACCUUCCCGUUUCCCCAGAAGAGCUGAGGCACAGACUGAGUUUUGUCCCCGCCACGCUCAGCA